AGGGCGCACGGUGAAUGCCUUGGCACUAGGAGCCGAUGAAGGACGGGACUAACACCGAUAUGCUUCGGGGAGCUGUAAGUGAGCUUUGAUCCGGAGAUUUCCGAAUGGGGAAACCCACUGUUCGUAAUGGAACAGUAUCUUUAUCUGAAUACAUAGGAUAUUGAAGGCAGACCCGGGGAACUGAAACAUCUAAGUACCCGGAGGAAGAGAAAGCAAAUGCGAUUUCCUGAGUAGCGGCGAGCGAAACGGAAUUAGCCCAAACCAAGAGGCUUGCCUCUUGGGGUUGUAGGACACUCUAUACGGAGUUACAAAGGAACGAAGUAAAUGAAGCGACCUGGAAAGGUCCGUCGAAGAAGGUAACAACCCUGUAGUUGAAACUUCGUUCCCUCUUGAGUGGAUCCUGAGUACGGCGGAACACGUGAAAUUCCGUCGGAAGCUGGGAGGACCAUCUCCCAAGGCUAAAUACUACCUAGUGACCGAUAGUGAACCAGUACCGUGAGGGAAAGGUGAAAAGCACCCCGGAAGGGGAGUGAAAGAGAUCCUGAAACCGUGUGCCUACAAGUAGUCAGAGCCCGUUAAUGGGUGAUGGCGUGCCUUUUGUAGAAUGAACCGGCGAGUUACGAUCCCAUGCAAGGUUAAGCUGAUAAGGCGGAGCCGUAGCGAAAGCGAGUCUGAAUAGGGCGUUUAGUAUGUGGUUGUAGACCCGAAACCAGGUGAUCUACCCAUGUCCAGGGUGAAGUUCAGGUAACACUGAAUGGAGGCCCGAACCCACGCACGUUGAAAAGUGCGGGGAUGAGGUGUGGGUAGCGGAGAAAUUCCAAUCGAACCUGGAGAUAGCUGGUUCUCUCCGAAAUAGCUUUAGGGCUAGCCUCAUGUUGUGAGAGUCUUGGAGGUAGAGCACUGAUUGGACUAGGGGCCCCCAACGGGUUACCGAAUUCAGUCAAACUCCGAAUGCCAAAGACUUAUCCAUGGGAGUCAGACUGCGAGUGAUAAGAUCCGUAGUCAAAAGGGAAACAGCCCAGACCACCAGCUAAGGUCCCCAAGUAUACGUUAAGUGGAAAAGGAUGUGGAGUUGCUUAGACAACCAGGAUGUUGGCUUAGAAGCAGCCACCAUUUAAAGAGUGCGUAAUAGCUCACUGGUCGAGUGACUCUGCGCCGAAAAUGUACCGGGGCUAAACGUAUCACCGAAGCUGUGGAUUGACAUCUUUGAUGUCAGUGGUAGGAGAGCGUUCUAAGUGCAGCGAAGUCAGACCGUAAGGACUGGUGGAGCGCUUAGAAGUGAGAAUGCCGGUAUGAGUAGCGAAAGACAAGUGAGAAUCUUGUCCACCGAAUGCCUAAGGUUUCCUGAGGAAGGCUCGUCCGCUCAGGGUUAGUCGGGACCUAAGCCGAGGCUGAAAAGCGUAGGCGAUGGCCAACAGGUUGAUAUUCCUGUACCACCUCCCCGCCGUUUGAGUAAUGGGGGGACGCAGUAGGAUAGGGUAAGCGCGCUGCUGGAUAUGCGCGUUCAAGCAGUUAGGCUGAUGAGUAGGCAAAUCCGCUCAUCAUAAAGGCUGAGCUGUGAUGACGAGGGAAUUAUAGUACCGAAGUUCCUGAUUCCACACUGCCAAGAAAAGCCUCUAGCGAGGCGGGAGGUGCCCGUACCGCAAACCGACACAGGUAGGCGAGGAGAGAAUCCUAAGGUGAUCGAGAGAACUCUCGUUAAGGAACUCGGCAAAAUGACCCCGUAACUUCGGGAGAAGGGGUGCUCUGGUAGGGUGUAUAGCCCGAGAGAGCCGCAGUGAAUAGGCCCAGGCGACUGUUUAGCAAAAACACAGGUCUCUGCGAAGCCGCAAGGCGAAGUAUAGGGGCUGACGCCUGCCCGGUGCUGGAAGGUUAAGAGGAGGGGUUAUCCUUUGGGAGAAGCUCUGAAUCGAAGCCCCAGUAAACGGCGGCCGUAACUAUAACGGUCCUAAGGUAGCGAAAUUCCUUGUCGGGUAAGUUCCGACCCGCACGAAAGGCGUAACGAUCUGGGCACUGUCUCAACGAGAGACUCGGUGAAAUUAUAGUACCUGUGAAGAUGCAGGUUACCCGCGACAGGACGGAAAGACCCCGUGGAGCUUUACUGUAGCCUGAUAUUGAAUUUUGGUACAGCUUGUACAGGAUAGGUAGGAGCCUGAGAAGCCGGAGCGCUAGCUUCGGUGGAGGCGUCGGUGGGAUACUACCCUGGCUGUAUUGAAAUUCUAACCCGCGGCCCUGAUCGGGCCGGGAGACAGUGUCAGGUGGGCAGUUUGACUGGGGCGGUCGCCUCCUAAAAUGUAACGGAGGCGCCCAAAGGUUCCCUCAGAAUGGUUGGAAAUCAUUCGUAGAGUGUAAAGGCACAAGGGAGCUUGACUGCGAGACCUACAAGUCGAGCAGGGACGAAAGUCGGGCUUAGUGAUCCGGUGGUUCCGCAUGGAAGGGCCAUCGCUCAACGGAUAAAAGCUACCCCGGGGAUAACAGGCUUAUCUCCCCCAAGAGUCCACAUCGACGGGGAGGUUUGGCACCUCGAUGUCGGCUCAUCGCAUCCUGGGGCUGUAGUCGGUCCCAAGGGUUGGGCUGUUCGCCCAUUAAAGCGGUACGCGAGCUGGGUUCAGAACGUCGUGAGACAGUUCGGUCCCUAUCCGUCGUGGGCGUAGGAAAUUUGAGAGGAGCUGUCCUUAGUACGAGAGGACCGGGAUGGACACACCGCUGGUGUACCAGUUGUCUUGCCAAAGGCAUCGCUGGGUAGCUAUGUGUGGACGGGAUAAGUGCUGAAAGCAUCUAAGCAUGAAGCCCCCCUCAAGAUGAGAUUUCCCAUAGCGCAAGCUAGU
rnacentral:rRNA from 1 species